rnacentral:rRNA from 1 species
AGCGAACGCUGGCGGCAGGCUUAACACAUGCAAGUCGAGCGGGCAUCCUUGUGGUGUCAGCGGCAGACGGGUGAGUAACGCGUGGGAACGUGCCCUUCGGUUCGGAAUAACUCAGGGAAACUUGAGCUAAUACCGGAUACGUGCGAGAGCAGAAAGGUUUAUCUGCCGAAGGAUCGGCCCGCGUCUGAUUAGCUAGUUGGUGAGGUUACGGCUCACCAAGGCGACGAUCAGUAGCUGGUCUGAGAGGAUGAUCAGCCACACUGGGACUGAGACACGGCCCAGACUCCUACGGGAGGCAGCAGUGGGGAAUAUUGGACAAGGGGGGCAACCGUGAUCCAGCCAUGCCGCGUGAGUGAUGACGGCCUUAGGGUUGUAAAGCUCUUUUCUCCGGGACGAUAAUGACGGUACCGGAGGAAUAAGCCCCGGCUAACUUCGUG